rnacentral:rRNA from 1 species
UGUGUAGGCGGGAUAGCAAGUCAGAGGUGAAAUCCUGCAGCUUAACUGCAGAACUGCCUUUGAUACUGCAGAUCUUGAGUUUGGAAGAGAGAGACGGAAUUCCAGGUGUAGUGGUGAAAUACGUAGAUAUCUGGAAGAACACCAGUGGCGAAGGCGGUCUCUUGGUCCAUAACUGACGCUGAGGCGCGAAAGCGUGGGGAGCAAACAGGAUUAGAUACCCUGGUAGUCC